AGUGAACGCUGGCGGUAGGCCUAACACAUGCAAGUCGAACGGCAGCACAGGAGAGCUUGCUCUCUGGGUGGCGAGUGGCGGACGGGUGAGGAAUACAUCGGAAUCUACUCUGUCGUGGGGGAUAACGUAGGGAAACUUACGCUAAUACCGCAUACGACCUACGGGUGAAAGCAGGGGACCUUCGGGCCUUGCGCGAUUGAAUGAGCCGAUGUCGGAUUAGCUAGUUGGCGGGGUAAAGGCCCACCAAGGCGACGAUCCGUAGCUGGUCUGAGAGGAUGAUCAGCCACACUGGAACUGAGACACGGUCCAGACUCCGACGGGAGGCAGCAGUGGGGAAUAGUGGACAAUGGGCGCAAGCCUGAUCCAGCCAUACCGCGUGGGUGAAGAAGGCCUUCGGGUUGUAAAGCCCUUUUGUUGGGAAAGAAAUCCAGCUGGCUAACACCCGGUUGGGAUGACGGUACCCAAAGAAUAAGCACCGGCUAACUUCGUGCCAGCCGCCGCAGUAA
rnacentral:rRNA from 1 species